rnacentral:ncRNA from 1 species
GUAAUUGCUUUGAUGAGAAGAGUAUGUCUAGACUGUAGUCUUAGCGAAUAAGGGAUGGUGUAAGCCUUAUACGAAGUCUAUUCUGAAGAACAUCUCUGAGUUUCUAACCGAAAGUUUUAAUAAAAAUUAGUAGGCUUAGACGGGAAAAUCUCGUUAUUAUUUUUAAGAGAGGUCAUAUAAAUUAUUUAUUUAUAUGACAAAUUGGGUGGUACCACGAAUUAAUACUUUCGUCCCAUAC